AGUGGGGAAUAUUGGACAAUGGGCGAAAGCCUGAUCCAGCAAUGCCGCGUGAGUGAUGAAGGCCUUAGGGUUGUAAAGCUCUUUUACCCGGGAUGAUAAUGACAGUACCGGGAGAAUAAGCUCCGGCUAACUCCGUGCCAGCAGCCGCGGUAAUACGGAGGGAGCUAGCGUUAUUCGGAAUUACUGGGCGUAAAGCGCACGUAGGCGGCUUUGUAAGUUAGAGGUGAAAGCCUGGAGCUCAACUCCAGAAUUGCCUUUAAGACUGCAUCGCUUGAAUCCAGGAGAGGUGAGUGGAAUUCCGAGUGUAGAGGUGAAAUUCGUAGAUAUUCGGAAGAACACCAGUGGCGAAGGCGGCUCACUGGACUGGUAUUGACGCUGAGGUGCGAAAGCGUGGGGAGCAAA
rnacentral:rRNA from 1 species